GCGGCCGCCAUGCUGCCCGCGCGCCCCCGACGCUUCCGCCCUCCCGGCAGCGCCGGCCCCGCCCGCCUGGGGUCGCGUGGCCGCGCGCACGUCCGAGCCCGCCCCGGGGCCGCGGGUUCGAGCCCCGGCCCCGGCCCCGGCCGCGUGGGUGCCUGAAGCGGGGCGCGGGCGGCGUGAGGGGGGUUUGGCCGCUGCCCCAGCCUUCCUUCUCCUCCGCGGUCCCCUGCAGCCGGCUGUCCAGACCGCUCCCGAAUACCUGCAAGGAUGGAGACUCCAUAACCUCUCUGGUCGCCCCGUGCCAGUGCUCCAACACCCUCUCGGUUGAGCUACAGAAAAAAACCCAGCCAAGUCUGAUUUUAUAAAGCUGCCAUCGCUGAAAUGUUCCUGCACUCAGUUAUUCAAACAGCAGCUCAAGAGGCAGGCUUGAUUGUUCCUGACCUAGGAGAAGCCCCUGAGAAAUCUCACCGUUCAUAGCCUGCAGCUAAACGGGCAUCUGCAAGCAGCCAGGGUGGGGAGCCAGGAGCAUGGCACACACUGUCUGACUAACCAGAUGGAAAAUUCCACUCCUCUUCAUCAUGGCAGACCACGCUGAAGCACUUGGGAAGCAAACCAGCAGUGUGUUUAUCUGCUUGCCAGGCUGCUGCUUUUCUUUGCUGCCAUGAACUGUGCCCAUUUGCCAGGACACCUACUCUAUCUGCUCAGCCCUCUUUUAGCACUGUGAUAAGAAGUACCUCUGGAACAACAUCCUGCCUACUUGGCUCUGCUUUGUAAUAUUUUUUUUUUUAGCACUGCUGACACUCAAUGCAGAGCAACAUGAAGGGCAAAGCUCCAGCAUGGUGACCAGCAGAACUGACCUCUCCUUCAGCUCUGGCCAUGCUGAGCACAAGAAACCCCUGCUGUUUGCAUUCCUUGCACCUCUGGAGUGAUCGGCUCUGGACAACCUCUGCUCACCCCAGGUUAACUCAAAACCUGUUACCUUGGGCAAAAAACUUACAGUUUCUUCUUACUUAAAGACAUGAAUGAUAAAGUAACCCUGAGGAAUGCCAGCCUUUCAACAGUGCAGGAAUCCUGGCUGAGGGGCUGAAAGCUCUCGUGUGCUCCCAGCACAAACCGCUCUCUCCGACUUGAGCAUAUUUCCCCCUCUUCCUGGUGCUUUCCCAUGCACACACACGCUCUUACCUCCCAAAUCUUCAGCUGUGCUCAUGGCAGGUUUGUUUAGUUCCCUGUGAGGAGAUGAGAAGAGCAUGCGAGUGUCUGAGCAGAAAGCCUUGUGCUACAAUGUCACUCAGGUCACCAGCACACAGCCAGUGCUGACCAAUGAGACUAAAUCCCAUGGGAAUUACACAGCUGUAAAUCCUGGAAACUAUGCUUCCCACUUUGAAUGUACCAUUGCUGAUUCCCUUGCAAUACUAUGCAGUGAAAUGAUACAGAAACAGCAAAUAAAGAAAUAAAACAUUAUUCAGACUCUCCCCUCUAACACUUCUACACCAUGGAGUGUCUCACUUGUUAAUGGCCACAAGGCACCCACUGCCUCUGAUCACGGCAAGGACAAGGAAAUGCAGAGCAAGUGGCUCCACAACGAUCCUGGGGCUGAAUGUCCACCUUGUAGCAGCAACAUGCUUUGGCACUGACAACAAGGCGAGGGAGCCGCAGGAGAGAAGUGUUCUCUGAAGGAUUUUACUUGGGUACUCAGUAACAAAGUUAUUUAGUAAGGCUUCAAUUCCAUGAUAUGCUCCCUUGAGCAAGUUUUUGUAUGCAUAUAUGUUUCGUCCACAGGUUUAAAACCUUGUUUCAAAAAAACCCCAUUCGAUGGGGGAGGUCUGUUAGCACUGCCCAGUUCAGAUAAUUUAAAAUGUGGUGUCAGAAGAGAGACUGAAGUUGAAAGAGGUGGUGCUUGCUCAGUAACUAUCCAGGCAUCUAGCACAAAAAAAUUCGAGUUCUGGUUAAGAUGAGUAUAUUGCAUAGCUGUUGUAGAAAAUGUAAAAUACAGAUGGAGUGUAGUGACACAGCCACUAUCCUGUCUUAAUUUACAUGCAGCCCAAGAGCAAAGCUGCUUCUCGAAGGUCAGAAGUGUGUGAACGUCUGUUCACAAAACCUGGAUUCACAUAAAACCUGUAAGGUCAAAUUACAUUAGUGAUACCCCAUACCCUCGCCCCCUAUUCCUGUGACAGUGGGAAAUGGCACGAAGCCUCUGAAAACCAGAAAUAAGAAAGUGUAUUUCCUGGUCUUUUCAAGUCCCUCAACAUCUUUAAUGCUUCCCGGGAUCAGGAGUCCUGCCCACAUUUGGGAUCUCCUGUAUGACUAACAAAGUCGUCAUGCAAAAUCGAGCAGCAUUAUUACCUUUGGAGGGUGCUCACCAUACCUUCACACCGUAGACCUUGAGCAAAGCCUGCAGAGGGCACGGGGGGGGGGGCAGGG